rnacentral:rRNA from 1 species
GUCUCCUGAAGGAACGUUGAAGACGACGACGUUGAUAGGCCGGGUGUGUAAGCGCAGAGAUGCGUUGAGCUAACCGGUACUAAUGAACCGUGAGGCUUAACCUUACAACGCCGAAG